AUGUUUUUUUUUUUGUUUUUUUUCAGCCAAAUUAAUAAUUCAGGAGGAGGCGGCAGGGGAAUGCUUUGAAAGAGGUAUAAUAGCUUUGGUAGUAUACUCAUUUUCAGGACAUUAACUCUUCCCAAUAUGGAUAUAGUCAGGGAUGUCCAGUUGUCAUUUGAGGCAGCUAUUGUUUUCUUUAGGUAUUUGUAAUUGGAUUUGACCACCUGUUGUAGUUCUGGGAAAAUUUGAACACCUAAAUAUUCAAACUGUUCCACUAUUUUAAAUUGCUUAACCUCACUGAUGGGAUUAGUCCUUUCACUGACAUUUAAUACCAGAAUAGAAGAUUUUGUAUUUACUCUGUAACCUGAGACUCUCCCAAAUUCCUGGAAUUGACUUUUUCAGAUCUGUUGGAAAUAAAAUAACAUCAUCAGCAAAUAGAGAAAUUUUGUGCUCUGUGGGGCCCACCGUGAUCCCGGAGAUUUGUGGAUGGAGGCGAAUAGCUGAUGCCAAUGGCUCAGUUGCCAGUGUGAAAAGUAAGGGGGAGAGAGGGCAUCCCUGGCAACAACCUUUCCUGAUUUGAAUCGCCCUUGAAAAUAUUUUGUUUGAUGCUUUUUCUGCAGUUGGAUUAUUUUAUAAUAUUUUAACCCAUUUAAUAAAGUUACUUCCACAAUUCAACCUUUCCAAUAUGUUAAAAAGAUAAGGCCAUUCAACCCUAUCAAAAGCCUUCUCUUCGUCCAGUGAAAGAAAAGCUGUAUCAUUAGCGUUCUUUUUAAACCAAAUAAUAUUCAGGACCCUUCUAAUAUUGUGAUAUCCUUCCCUCCCAAGUAUAAACCCAUUUUGGUCCUUAUUUAUUAUGCCUGGUAGAAUUAUUUGCAACCGUAUUGCCAAUAGUUUACAGAUAAUUUUGAGAUCAGAGUUGAGUAUACUGAUGGGUCUCAGAUUUUCACACUUAUUCGGAGGCUUACUCAGUUUUGGCAGCAGAAUAAUUAGGGCCUGAUUUAAAGAGGGAGGCAGGGUGCCUUUUUUAAAUAACUCCAUAAACAUAUCUAGAAGGGGAGAGAGCAAUUUAUCCUUAAAUUUUUGAUAAAGAUCGAUGGGGAUACCACCAGGUCCUGCUUGCUUACCAGAUUUCAUUCCAUUAAUGGCCUGUGCUAACUCCUCUUUGUUUCUAUAUUUAAGUCUAUUCUACAAUCAUCUGCAAUGACAGGGAUA